CUGGGAGGUGAGCGCGUUCCUGGCGCGGAGGCGGAGGCGGAGGUGGAGGCGGAGGUGAGUUGGCUGUCUUCGUGGAGGCUCCGGCCCUCCGGAGGCCUGAGCGCAACAUUACCACAGCCAAAUCGGCCCGGUGUCCGUCGCCGGUUCGUUUGCCCGGUUCUGGACCUGGAGCCCGUUUGUCGCUUGGGAAGCAGAGCCCGCAGAAGGUGUGCCCCGCACCGCUUCGCCGGAAACGAGUGGGCUUCAGUACAUACUGAGGACGAGCACGUGUACCAUGCGGCGGGGCGGGCGACACAACCACGAAGUGAUGUGGAUGGAGUGAGUCCCAGGCCGCGGGCCAGGCGUCAGGUGAAGUUUGAGCACCGACGGAGCUUGAAGCGUUGGCCUGGCCGGCGCUCGACCACUUGGACACACGCUGCUUGGAAUGUGGCCGGUGCUCACUGGGGUGUGUUUGGGGGUGAAAUGCAUACGGGACUCCAGUGGCUUGGUGUGAAAAUAAUAACUUUUACGUUGAUUGCAUGUUGAAUGAUAAUAUUUGGAUAUACUGGAGGCGAUAGAAUGUGUUGUUAAAAUCAUUUUGGGUUGUUUUUUUUUUUUUUUUUUCCUGAAGAUUGUGUCUAGGAACGCGCUACCACUGAGCUCGUCCUGAGCUCUCUUUGUUGCCAAUAGCUUGGACCUUUUCCUCGAUGCCAAUCCAAUAAGGAGGACACAGUUUUGAGAAAAAAGAGAAACACAGGAAGAUUCCUGUCCCAAAGGCUAUGAUUCUGCCUAUCUGCAGGAACCAGGGGACUUUUAUAGAGGUGAUUCAGAGAAAAUGAGACUAGGGAGGAGAGAUCAGGAAGGAGAAGAUGGGGUAGGGGAAGAAGUUUAAGGAAAAGAAGAUUGGGUAAAAGAAAAAAAAAAGUGUUUCAAAGCCACAUGAGAUAUGGUCAAAGCAUCUCAUCAAGUGAACGUGUUACAUAUUUAUUUUUAUUUUGACACAGUCUGGGUAGGAUUAUAGUCAUGCAACCUUUUUUUUUUAAUGUCACUACCAGAAAAGUUGAAAUUGCAUAUGGGUUUGCAUUAUGUUUAUGUGGCCUUAAACCAAAAUUGGGGGUGGGGGAGACUGGCAUUGCAGGCUGAAGUUUUGUUUGUUUUCCCCUGUAGAUGAGUUUUAGUACAACAUUUAGGAGCUUCUGGAAACACCAUCAGUUUUAUUUCGAAACUAAUUACAUUGUAUUCUUUUCAGGCCAGCUGCUUGGUAGGAAAAAAACAAUACCAUUGAACUACACCCUCAGCUCCUGAUUAUAUUUUCUGAUUAAUGAAAGCUGGAGAGGCUGAGGCAGGAGGAUCUCAAGGUCAAAACCUGCCUCAGCAACUUCUGGAGGCCCUACUUAGUGAGAUCCUGUCACAAAAUUGAAAAGUAGAAAGGGCUAGGGAUUUGGUACAGUGGUUAAGUGCCUCUGAGUUCAGUUUCUGGUGCCAUGCCUCUUCAUAUACUGAUGAGUAUAAUCAAUUUAGUACUUGUUCCAUGCUAGGUGUCCCACUAAGGUACUUUACAUGCAUAACCUCAAUCAUUCCAACCAUGUCCUCAGGGGUACACAGCAGCCUGAAAGGCUCUAUUAACUCUCAUAACACUCAACUUUUAUACUUGCUAAUAGCAAAUCCUUCUACAAUUCUGCAUGCCCUGCAACAUCUACCUGACCACAUUUUUAUUAUAUCUGUAUCCACUUUUAGCUUGUAGGAUAUUGCCAAGUAUGGCCUGUGCCUUAUCCACAGCAACAGCCUCAACACCUCACACAGGAGGCCUUCCAUAAAUGCUUGAAAAAUGGAUGACAACCGCAGGAACUCAAGGUAUCCCCUUUUGCCAUGGUGAUAGAAACUCCCAGGAAUCUCCACCCAGCAAUCUCAAUGGAUCCUUGAUGACCCCUUUCAAACAACUACUAGGUGCUCAGGGAUCCUUUGUGGCAUAGCUAUAAGAACUCUCCUGGGCUUAAUUUCUCUACACAACCUCAAGGAAUUUCCAGAGAUCUGUAAAAUGAUGACUUCUAAAAGACCCUUUACUUAUAGCCUCAGGAACUCUCCUGGAAUCCUCUGCUAGUGGAAUUCAGGACAGCCCCAGAGAUGAACUCCAAAAACCUGUUCUUUACAGCUCAGUCUGACUUAUUGCAAGAAUCAGUGAAUGGAGCUGGGCAAAGUGAUGCGUGUCUGUCAUUCCAGCUACUGGGGAGGCUGAGACAAGGAUCGCAAGUUUGAGGCCCAUCUGGGCAAAUUAGCAAGACCCUGUCUCAAAAAUUUUUAAGAGGGCUAGGAUGUAAUUUAGAGGAAGAACAUUCCUAGGUUCAAUUCUUGGUAUUGCAAAAAGAAAAAAAAAAUCAGUAAGGACAGAAAUUAAAAUGAUGGAAGCAGAAAGGAAGGGAAAACAAAGUUUGCCCGAAAAAAUUGACAGUGACUAGUCAGAUUCAGUCCUUCCCCAUAGUUUACUGUAGGUGUCCUAACUGCUGUCUUGGAAGAAGUAGUAAAACAUUGACUUGAAGGCUUCUAGACUGGCUAAGCAAAAAAUUACUAGUGCCCCCAAAAAGUAUGAAAGGAGGGAGUGAGCCAGUUUGCAGCAUGAAUUUAUGAUUGGUUUUAGACAUGCUGGAUUUGGGUCAUAGAUAUUAAAUCUCAGCCACGCACUAGAUUAGAGAACACAAUUUGGCCAAAAAUUAAACGGGCUUAGAGGGGACGCCAGAGCAGAGUGAGAAGACUGGUGAUCAGAAGCAGGUCAAGGUCAUCACAGUCAAAAAGACAAAGCCAGGAUAGUUCAUUUCCAGAGAUGGAUCUAAGCAAAGGGGACAGAUGAAAUUCAAAAGCGGAGCCUGGUAGAAGGCCAGGUUUGAAAGCCAAAGUGAUAACAGAUGUGGAAUCUGGGAGUAGGGCCUAUGCAGAUAUCAAACAGGACACAUCCCCAAGUCCCAGAGCUACAAAAUGAGCAGAACCCUUUUUAUUCAUUUUUCUUUUUUAAGGACCACAUGGGGAAAUGCUAAUUGGAAGUGCAUAUAGGUGCACAGUGUUGGGGAUGGAACCCAGGGCCUCAUGCACACUAGGCAAGUGCUCUACCACUGAACUAUAUCCCCAGCUCUCUCUUUAAGACAAGAUCUAAGAAAUAACCCAGCUGAUUUCAAAUUUCUGGGUUCAAAUGAUCCUCUCAGCUCAACCUUCCAAGUAGCUAGAACUACAGAUGUGGGAAGUAAUUUUUGUACAACAAACUUACUAGGCUUAUAAUUGCUACUAUUUAAGACAAAUGCAAACUAAUGUACCAUUUCACACUUAACAGACUGGCAAAAAUUUAAAAUCUAUCAAUGUCAAAAUUGAUGAGAACAAGCUGGGUGCAGUGGCACAUGCCUGUAAUCUCAGCAGCUCAGGAGGCUGAGGCAGGAGGAUGGUGAAUUCAAAACCAGUCUCAGCAAAAACAAAGCACUAAGCAACUCAGGGAGACCCUGUGUCUAAAUAAAAUACAAAAUAGGGCUGGGGAUAUGGCUCAGUAAGUAAUUGAGAGCCCCCAAGUUCAAUCCCCAGUACCCCCCCACAAAAAAAUGAUGAUCCCAUGGGUUUUGUGAAAAGAGCUUUCAUGCCUUGCUAGAAGAGGUAUAAAUGGUUUGAUAUUAUUGAGUGAUCAUUUAGAAAUUUCUAGUAAAGAUAUUCAGCAAUUCCCACUGGGCAUUUGCCAUGGAGCAACUUGCCAAGAUGUGCAGACAAGAAUAUUUGUUGUGCCAUUGCUUCUAGUGAUGGUGGGGGGUUAGAGGGAAAAGCAUUCAAAGUGUGAUCUACAGGAGAAUUGACAAAUUGCAGUUAUCCAAUAGAAUACCAUAUGGUAGUAAAAAAGGAAUAAAUUGAUUUUGCAUACAUCUGUGUUAAUUUCACAAAUCAUUGAGAAAAGUUUCUUAUGAAUGCAUAUGAUAUAAUACCAGCUAAUUCUCUUGUUAAUUUUUAGUUGUCAAAACUGUGAUGAGCUACAUCAUAGGCAUCAGGCAAACCCAAGAGAUGGCCCUCCAGACAGAUGUCAGUGGAGCCUUCGCAGCACUGCAUACUGUCUUCAGGGGGGCAGUGCAUAAUCCUAGGAGAAAAAGUGGCCCUGGGCUGAGGGCAGUUGCCAAGGAAGGUAACUUCCCUUCUUGUCUGCCAGGACCCAUGGUUGCUGUGCCCUUCUCAGGCAUGGCUAUUGUACUGGUCCACCUGCCAUUGGAGUUGGGCAGCAGAGCACCAAGAGACACCCAGUGAGUCACUCUACUAGACUGGCCAUCUAGAACAGCAGAGGUGCUAGCCGGGUUGUGGGAUCUGCGUAGCUCCAAGAACGCUCCAGACUUCUUGUCAGUUCCCCUAGGAAAGGGCAUCAACCAGAGUCCUGGAGCUGCUCUUCCCAGAUGGGUGGACAUAAAUGAAGCCAAGGGAAGCCUAUCAUGGGUGCAGCCCAGACCUCCCCUUUAGGACUGAGGCUUUCUCGCCCAGCUGCUGCUGAUUUGUGGAGAAAGUUUCUACCUUGGCCUUGUCUUUGUGACUGUUGCUCAUGACAUCGACCUGUUCCUUACCAUCAGUCUUCUGACUUGUACUGGCCUCCCUUCUAGCCCUUGUGUCAUUUGUGGACAAAAUAUGUUUUCUAAUCUACAGCAUGGCUAAGAUCUAACAUCUAUGGCUUCACAUUCAUUUGUGUACCAAAAUCAAUCAUAAAUUUGUC
rnacentral:lncRNA from 1 species